GAAAAGGUGCACGGCUUCUUUUUCUUCGACGUCAAUCACUAGGAAAAUUCACUUUAUAUAUUGAUUUCCUAGCUUAAUUAACAUCAUUUUAUAGUGGGCUUCCAAGUUGUACGCUAUUUAUUUCUUCUUCUAAGUCAUUAAUCCCCGACAAGAUGAGACGGGUUAUUAGUCAUGCAUACUGAAAUCCAUAAAUAUAAAUGGGAAAGGGAGGUUCAAUCAAGAACUUUUAUUUUUUUCCCUUUUCU
rnacentral:lncRNA from 1 species